rnacentral:rRNA from 1 species
AACGACCGCUUUCUUCCUUCCUAACACAUGCAAGUCGAACGAGACCUUCGGGUCUAGUGGCGCACGGGUGCGUAACGCGUGGGAACCUGCCCUUAGGUUCGGAAUAACUCCCCGAAAGGGGUGCUAAUACCGGAUAAUGUCUUCGGACCAAAGAUUUAUCGCCUUUGGAUGGGCCCGCGUUGGAUUAGCUAGUUGGUAGGGUAAAAGCCUACCAAGGCGACGAUCCAUAGCUGGUCUGAGAGGAUGAUCAGCCACACUGGGACUGAGACACGGCCCAGACUCCUACGGGAGGCAGCAGUGGGGAAUAUUGGACAAUGGGCGAAAGCCUGAUCCAGCAAUGCCGCGUGAGUGAUGAAGGCCUUAGGGUUGUAAAGCUCUUUUACCCGGGAUGAUAAUGACAGUACCGGGAGAAUAAGCUCCGGCUAACUCCGUG